GCCACAUCGCGAAUACCCGCGAUAACGACGCGAGAAACACAACAAACGUAUUCGGAAUCAACCACAGCCUAAGUCACAAUUACAAAAGGUGUCACGAUUACUACACGAGAAACACAACCAACUUAUUCGGAGUCUACCACAACACCAGUCAAAAGUACAAAAGAUGACACAGCAGCAACACCCUCGACAUCGACACGAGAGACAUAGCUGAAUACGUUUUCAACAUCAACUACAACAGAAUUCGAGAGUGCAAAAGGGGCAUGCUCUGGACGUGCUUUAAAAACGCUGUGAUAGAAAAGACUACCGCAGAGGUGUCCACUGCUGUGGCCAAUCAACAACGUGUUGAAUAUGUUAACACAACAAGUGAUGGCAUGCACAGAAAUACUGGAGACACAAGGGACGCUCAAACUUAUGAGAAACUAAACAUGACUUCGAGUUCGGACAACUAUCUUUCACUCCAAGAGAUUGAUACAGAUCGCCACUUUUAUCAAAACACAUGAAUGUAAAAAUAUCAUGCAUUUCAACUAGAUUUAUUUCUUUUGUUCUAUGUAUUAGCUAAAUUCAAUCAUAUUAUGUAUAUAUACAUUUAUAGAAUGUCACAAGAUAUAACGUUUUUGUUUUCAACAUAACAAUGCAUAUAGUUGUUUUUAUAUUACUCUUAUAUUAUGUAUUCCCUGGGUCAAUACAUGCACAUAAUUUAACCUUAUUCCUGUAGUUUUCAUUGCAUUAUCAAAUAAUUCUAAAAGUACCAAAUUAGUUUUACCGAUAAAUUGCAGAAGUCACGUGUGGCAAAUUAUAAUUUUCGGCGAUCUCGGAUAAAGUACCUCUCGAUCGUUAAUAUUAUUUAUAAGUCUUUAUUUAUUCUUAAAUAAAACUUGUGAACGUAUGAUAAGACACAAACUUACUGAACAUUUCUUUUACAACAUUACACUAAGGUAAGGUUUACCAAGGUUUAAUGUUGUUACUGGUACAACAAAGGGCUUGUUUUUAUAGAUAUGCUUUAAACUAUGAGCAUAUUUUCGUCCA